CAAUAGCGUAUAUUAAAGUUGUUGCGGUUAAAAAGCUCGUAGUUGGAUUUCUGCCGAGGACGACCGGUCUGCCCACUGGGUGUGUAUCUGGCUCGGCCUGGGCAUCUUCUUGGAGAACGUAUCUGCACUUGACUGUGUGGUGCGGUAUCCAGGACUUUUACUUUGAGGAAAUUAGAGUGUUUCAAGCAGGCACACGCCUUGAAUACAUUAGCAUGGAAUAAUAAGAUAGGACCUCGGUUCUAUUUUGUUGGUUUCUAGAACUGUGGUAAUGAUUAAUAGGGAUAGUUGGGGGCAUUCGUAUUUAACUGUCAGAGGUGAAAUUCUUGAAUUUGUUAAAGACGGACUACUGCGAAAGCAUUUGCCAAGGAUGUUUUCAUCGA
rnacentral:rRNA from 1 species